CAUUCCUUUCCCUUCACCACCCCUUAUCCCUCAUCACCCCUUAUCCCCCACCAUUUCCUUUCCCCUCACCAUCCCGUAUCCUUCACCAUCCCUUAUACCUCACCACCCCUUAUCCCACACCAUUCCUUUCCCCUCACCAUCCUAUAUCCCUCACCACUCCUUAUCCCUCACCAUUUCCUUUCCCCUUGCCACUCCUUCUCCCCCACCAUUUCCUUUCCCCUUACCACCCCCUUAUCACCCCUUACCCCCUUUAGCAGUUGUCAUUACCGAUAUAGGAGAAAGACCUUUUACGUCUGGCAGAGGGGAGCCAUGUGAAGUUACUGCCGGAAGGGUUUUGACAACUUAACGUUCAGUCAGUGUAUCAGGUGCCGCUGUAGUGAGUGGACGGGACAAGUAGUCAGCUCUCCCAGUGGAUAUAUACCUCAUAAACUAUUAAAUACCUUCAAUACUAUAACUGACAAUCUAGUACUGCGCCUGUGUCUCAGUUAUAAGCUCACAGCGCCAAUAUUAACCGGACACGGAGGAUAGAGGAGCAGACGACCAAUUGGAAGGCAUAUAUAUAUCCACGCACUACCACCCUCACCACCCACUACCACUGCCACCCUUCC